UGGUGAGUAUUUGUAGAACAGAGCUAAUGCACCACAUGAGAACUAACUGCACUCACUUAAUUUCAUCGAUCGUAAGAAGAGGGAACACUAAUUUCCCAUUUGUUGCAGCUGAGUCAGCGGCUUGAUUGGAAAAAAAAAACUUGAUUCAUAUAUUGUUUUCUCUCAGGAUUAACAUGGGGUUCCAAGGAAGCCGCAAAUUAGUAAAAUUUUGAUCCUUGCAGUUUGAUUAGUAUACAGGAUAUCCACUUUCUAGCACAUUAACAUCAUGUUUCUAUUUUCUAUAACAUCAGUUGCAGCUGAAGAAUCAGGAUUGUGUUGUGAUCAUGGAAGGUUUCAAAGCUAGUGGACCGAGCGUCUAAAUUUGGCACAUAUUUCCCUUUAUAUUUGUUCAAGAUAAGAAAAUAAUCAUUGAAAUAAACUUUGCAUCUAUUUAAAUUGGUUGUAUGCUUACUUCAAGCACACAUGUUUUUUGUAACGGACACAUACAUUGUCCUAUCUGAAGUAAGGAAAUCAACCUUGAAUUAUGUGCUUAGAGCAAGGAAAUCAACUUUU